UCCUUGGCCUGUGUUGAGUUCCCUCUUAGAGACUGAUGGUUUUUAAUGGGGGGUCUCCUUCUUGAGGCGAGGUGCUUUGUGUCUUUGGUAUAGUAUGGCUUCCAUUUUUCACUGGUAUAGUCCGUCGCUUUUCCUUCGCAUCUCCCUCCUCUUUUUAAGUAAUGGUUCUCCCCAACUCUUUACGAGGUCGCGGGAGCAUAG
rnacentral:lncRNA from 1 species